rnacentral:miRNA from 1 species
CUGAGAUCAACAAAUGCUCCC